rnacentral:lncRNA from 1 species
GACAAGCAAGUUCAUAACCGUCCCUUGAUGGAUGUCCUUUUCCCAGAUUUUUUUCACACACUAUACUGGAGUUGCCGUGGAGCUGAUCUUCAAUAACAGCAACAGCAGCAGCAUAAUAUAUCUUUCCUUUUUUUCAUUGUGGUGAUCUUUGGCACCGACGGCUUUUACCCCAUGUUCACCUCUGUCACUUUUGUUGAAUGAUAUACUCCUAUUUGUUUUGUAAUUUGAUUGUGUACAUUACAUGUGCCAUUCAAAAUAAGCCAAAAAUAAUAAUAAUAAUAAUAAAAAAUAGUCUGAGUUUGAAG